rnacentral:rRNA from 1 species
UACGUAGGUGGCUAGCGUUGUCCGGAUUUACUGGGCGUAAAGAGCGCGCAGGCGGUCGUUCAAGUCGAGUGUGAAAGCCCCCGGCUCAACUGGGGAGGGUCACUCGAUGCUGAUCGACUUGAAGGCGGGAGAGGGAAGCGGAAUUCCCGGUGUAGUGGUGAAAUGCGUAGAUAUACUGGAGGAACACCGGUGGCGAAGGCGGCAUCCUGGACCGGCAUUGACGCUGAGGCGCGAAAAGCCAGGGGAGCAAACGGG